rnacentral:pre_miRNA from 1 species
CCGUGCUUCCUUACUUCCCAUAUUUGUAGUCAUGCUCUAUGGAAUGUAAAGAAGUAUGGAG